CCAAAACGGAGUUUCCAGGGAGAGCGCACCCGCGGGAGCGCCAGAGUACCAGCAACUCUUGCUUUCUGCUGUGCUCUCUGGGGCCAAGCAGAGCCUGCUUCUACAGGUCAGCCAGUCUCAGUCCCUUGUCAGGGCAUGGCGGUGGGCUCCCCAGCGUUCCCUGAGGUGAGAUCUGAGCAGCCUGUGGGGCAGACAGAUGGGGGCUGGGAGGGGACCCCCGCCUGCAAUGAGCUCUCUCGUCCCUUCCUCAUUGACCUGAGUCUAUGCUGCCCUGGCCAGAGCCUGACUUUCAGCCUUGCCUGACAGGGAAGAUGAUCUGGUGGUCUGAGAGCCAGGGAGCCAAAGAAGCCCAUACAUGGCUGGACACACUGCUGAGCCAGGAGGGAGGGGGAGGAGAGGGGAAGGGGGACAGAGGCUGAGGGAUGAGUCAGGAAGAGGGGAGAGUGGAUAGGGAGCCUGAGAAGCUGGGCUUGGUCUGCCCAUCAACAAUAAAUAGGAAGGACAGUGGGAGGGCCAGACCCACCUGAAUCCACCCCGCCCUCCAGGAAAUCACAGUCUACAAGUCUGCCUCUUGGCCUUGCCGCUCACUGGCUGGGUGACCUGGGCCAGCCCCUUCUUCUCCCUGGACCUCAGUUUCUUCCCCUGUCAAUGAAGGGAGGGUCGGGGUGACCCCUGAGGUCCCUUCCGUGUCUCUGUCUCAUCCCCACUGUGAGGAAGGAGGGGGCUGGCGUACGCAGACCUUGGGCCACACAGACAGGAAAAACUGGCUACCAACGUGGGAGUCAUUUCCAAAUCAGCUGUCUGUGUACAAUCAUACCAUUGACUUGUUGGAGCAAAGAUCAGAACCAAAGUAGGGAAAAGAAUAAAAACGAGAAAAGGAAUCCAGUAAAAACCACCCCAGCCUGACCUACUUAUUUGAACAAGCUGAUAAAGUAAAAAAUGGGAAAUGGAUAAAAGCACGGAUAUGGACACAGACUACUUCCAUUUCCCAAGGAAGUUUAGCCGGUGUAAAUCCACGGCCACAACAAGGAGACCAAAAGAAACUAGAAACCACACCAGCCAGCAAGUGCUUGAUCUCUUUGCCAAGUGGAGAGAUAUGCCAGCCAAAGGCAAUGGUGGCUUAAAAUACGUGCUUGUUUGUAGAAUCUUCUGGAGGAGGUGGAUGGAAAAUUAUGAGCAGUCUUGCCUCAUGACACCAUGAGAAUCAGUGGAAGGAGGCACAGUUUUACAGACACCUGAUGAAGCUACCAUCUCAGAACGUGUAAGGAUGAAGCUGGGGGUGGGGGAUAACAUCCAGCAGAGGAGAAAUGCAAAAGAUCCGUCAAGAUUUCUAUACAAAUUCUUUUCUCCAUCAAUGACAGCAGAGCCAUCGCACCUUAGUUUUACAAUCACAGCCUCACAUGGGCUGCCCCAAGAAGUGGGAAAGCACACCUACUGGGUGGUUUGGUGGACAGCACACUGGACCUGGGGUCAGGAAGACCUGAGCUCAAAGUCCGCUUCAGUCAGUUACCAGAUUUGUGACUCUAGACAACCCAUAGUGGGCUGGACUGACUGGAGAGGUCCUGGGCUCCUCCCCUUGGAGGUCUUUGAGCAGAGGCCAGAUGACUGGCAGGUGUUUGUUGGCUGGGUCACAGAAGUAUUUCCUGCCCCAGGAUGCAUUGGACUGGGUGAUACCUUCUCUCACCACUGGACUGGUUUCCUUCGUGUCCCCGUGAAGGGAAGAGUCCCUGGGUGGUCUUAGAUGCCGGCCCUCCUUUGAUGCCCAGCCCAGGGACCACCAACUCCUUGAAAACUUCCCUGAUUCUUCCCCCAGCCUGAAGGGAUCGUCACCUCUCUAACUCUCCCAGCUCCUGGUUUGUCCCUCUCCCGGGGCCUUUGUAUUCCCAGAGCCUGCACAGGGCCCGGCCCCUGCAGGCACUCACUUGGCGGUGCCUUGGCUCUCCCUGAGUUUCUUGGGCUCUCUCAGGAAGAUAUUUGCCCAGGUUACGCCACCCGAACCUGAACUCGGCUCUUCUGGACCCUCCUUGUGCCCUGCUUCUUCUCCAGCCACGCCAGGCUGCCUUUCACUGAAGCUGAGAGCAUCCGAGCCAGCUUCACUCAGUGUAAGGAGAGCUCUAAGCCCCCCAAUUACCCUGAAGAGGAGGGGGCUGCCCAGGGAGGCGGAGGGGUCCCGCUCCCUAGUAUGGGGGGAGGGGUGCUUGUGCCGACAUGGGCCAAACUCUACGGCCUUUGAUGUCCCUUCUGACUCAGAGAUGCCCAGAUUUUAUGAAACCAAACUGAACUGAGCAGAGCACAACUCCAAAGGAUAAAGGAAUGGAGGCUGGGCCCCUCCCCUUUGGCCUCCUCCCCAUCCCACCUGGCCCCCACCCAAUGACAAAGUGUUUGAGAUGGAAGUCAAAGAUUAGCUGGCUCCUGGGGUGGUGAAGCUGUGUUCACAGAACAAAGGAGUCAAGUCACAGCAGGGACAGAUGCCUCCGGGGGGCCUCACCCCCAAAGUAACCCCAGGACAGCCUGGAAACUGCCCCUGGCCAGACCGUGCCUAGUGCGGGUGCCAGCCCGGAGGCCAUCCCCAACCUGCAUUUCCUGUUCUUGGUGGGGAAGAAGGCAAGGCGCUGAGCAAGAGGCAGGCCGGCCCCCUGCCCCCUGCCCCCUGCACCUUCUCUCCCAGUGCUUUCUCCUAACAUGAAGAAAGAGACUUUCCUGUUAUCCACCUUGGUGUGGCCGCGUGGGAAAGCCGCCCCAACAAAGAGGGUGGGAGCCGUGAGAUACUGCCAGGUGCAAGGUCAGGGCAGUGUGUGGGCGAGGUGCGGCCUGGCAGACAAAGGCGGAGAGCCACAGCCCAGAGACGCGGGUGCGAAUUCCCUGUCCGACACUCUGUAGAUGGGGCCAGUAGUGACCUCGUGGGGCUGCGGCGAGGAGACCGUUGGCCAGCCUUCCACCGGAUAAGGAGGGGGUGUUACCAUUAUUGUUCCUGUGGAAUGAGUUCUAGAGAACACCUAAGGUCAUAUUUAGUCCUAGAAGCCGCAGUGUGGAGUGCUAAGCCUGGAGUCCGGGGGACCCAAGUUCAAAUUCAGCUUCAGACGAUCACUUAAGUGGCCCUGGGCAACACAUUUAACCUCCAUCUGCCUCAGUUACCCCAACUGUAAAAUGAGGAUAAUAACCUACCUUUCAGGGUUGUUAUGAGGAUCGGAUGAGAUAAUAUUUGUAAAGUGCUUUGUAAACUUUAAAGAGUCAUGUAAACAACAUUGUUAUGCCCUGGGAAAGUGGCAGUGCCAGGGGGCGGACCCCACUAAUUUCCAGUUGCUCCUUUCCUUGGCCUGUGUCUCCAUUUCACAUGGCACUGGUUGCCUUACCUACUUAAAGUUUGUUCUUUUCCAUGCUCUUCCCCUGCUCAAGAAUAGACAAUGAUUGCAUUCAGUUCAGCCUUCCCUUCGCAACAUUCAAGGCCUGACAGAGUCUGGCCCCAUGCCGCCUCAUUUCCAUGGUUCCCCAAAUCCCAUCAUUCAUACUGCGCCUCUUAUGUUAUUUUAAUACCUUCUCACCUGCCCCAUCCUGGGAUUAAGCCCUAUGGACCAAUCCAAAUAGACUGUGAGCUCCUUGGGAGCUCCUUGGGAGUAGGAACUGGGCCUUAUGUAACAGCACCCAGAAUGUUGGCACUCAGAGGUACCUCAGAGCCAGACACCAGCCCAACCUGGGCGUGAAAUAGAACCUCUUCAACAACAUUCCCAAUAAGGGGUUGUCAGGCAUCUGCCUGAAGACCAUCAGUGACAGGGAGCUUACCACCUCCCUAGGUAGCCGCUCCACUUUAGACUGACUUUGCUAGAGGUAGAAUGAGGGUUCGUGUGUGACCAGACCACCAAAGACGGCGUCAUCCCUGUAGAAGACACUGCAGAUCUUCUUCUGGGAGACUGGAUGACCGGAGCGCUCUCGGACACUCUGCAUCGGCUCACUGGGUGGCCGGGAGCGACCUUUCUCCCAUUGGCUGGGGCUGGUGUCUUCAACACGCUCGUUCUUAGCACCUACAGAGGCCUUUUGCUGCAUCUGUCUGAAGGGAAGGAGACAUCUUUCUUCACUAGAUAAGUGCGGGCCUGGGGGCUGCGUCCUUCCUCCCCCACACCAGGUCAUUUGGCCCCAAGAAACCAGGCCUGGGUCUUUGUUCUUUUGCUCACUUUUCCGCAUUCUAGGUGCUGGGAGUAGAGUUUCAGAUCUGGCCCUGGAACACAAACCAUGAGGAUCCAGGAAUCCCGCUCUCAGGCUGAAUGUUUGGUCAGCCCAGCAGGGAUGCCCCGAGGAGCAAGGGUCCAGGAGACCACCCCAACGGGUCUGCCCUAAGCUGUGGUGAGUGGUUAGAUUUGACUGGGGGCCACUCACAUUGGAAGGACGAUGAGGGCUUGAACCAAGCCCUCCAGGUACCAGGGAAGCCCGAGGAGGGUAAGCCUGGCAGGGAGAGUGGGCCCAGAGUCAAUCAUGUUCCAUAAACAAAAACACCUUUUGGACUCCCAGUUUAGCAAAGUCAAAAAUGGACUUGAGGUUUGUCCAGCAUGACUCGUCCCUGGUGAAGCCAUCGAGUGAUUUCCUGAAGGUUGCCCAGCAAACACUGGAGCCUGGAACAGAACUAAGAGCACGGUUUUUUCCCUCUACCUCAGGUUACGUCUCAGGCCGUGAAACUGGGGACUUAAGAAGGAUUGGUCUUGUUGUUUUAGUCGUUGAAGAAGCAAAUUGAGUCUCGAUGACUCAAUUUAAAAGUGAAUAUAAAAUAUGAAAAACAAACAGGUAUAUGAAAAGACUCCCCGACCAGGAGUUCUUCCACAGUGGGAUGGACUGCUGCUUCUAGAGGUGUGCUUCCUCUUACCUCACUGCAAGCGUUCAAUCAGAGUCUGGCCAGUCAAGCGUCAGGUGUGUGGUAGAGGGAAUUAAAAAAAAAAAGGUAAGGGUUGGGCCAGGUUGCCAUUCAGAUUCACUGAAGAGGCCCUGCACCAGGUGGAGCUUGUUACAAGCCAAGAAGACAACCAUCUUGUGACGGUUCCUAGCUCGGGAACGGUUCUUCGGGUUCUGUUUCUUUGGUGUUGCAGUGACUUAUGAUGUCUUAUAGUUGAGGUCUUGUUAGCCUGAGUGCUUUCAAAGGAGCCGAACGUCCUUUUCUUUUUUUUAUUCACAAACCAAAUUCUGAUGUUUACCCUGGAAACACAUCCCUUCUAGCAUCUGUCAUUUUUCUUUUUCAUUAUCUUAGACAAUCUGAUAGGUGUGAGGUGGUACUUCGUAGCUGUUCUCAU